UCCCUGGUGGCUCAGAUGGUAAAGAAUCUGUCUGCAAUGUAGGAGACCCAGGUUGGAUCCCUGGGUAGGGAA
rfam:TPA: Bos taurus chromosome 27, whole genome shotgun sequence.